UGGGGAACCUGCCCCAUAGUCUGGGAUACCACUUGGAAACAGGUGCUAAUACCGGAUAAGAAAGCGGAUCGCAUGAUCAGCUUUUAAAGGGCGGCGUAAGCUGUCGCUAUGGGAUGGCCCCGCGGUGCAUUAGCUAGUUGGUAAGGUAAAGGCUUACCAAGGCGAUGAUGCAUAGCCGAGUUGAGAGACUGAUCGGCCACAUUGGGACUGAGACACGGUCCAUACUCCUACGGGAGGCAGCAGGG
rnacentral:rRNA from 1 species